GGGAAAGUAGCUCAGUGGUAGAGUGCAUGCCUUGCAAGCAUGAGGCCCUGGGUUCGAUUCCUCAGUACCA
rnacentral:tRNA from 1 species